AAUCCAUAGGUUAAUGAGGCGAACCGGGGGAACUGAAACAUCUAAGUACCCCGAGGAAAAGAAAUCAACCGAGAUUCCCCCAGUAGCGGCGAGCGAACGGGGAGGAGCCCAGAGCCUGAAUCAGCAUGUGUGUUAGUGGAAGCGUCUGGAAAGGCGCGCGAUACAGGGUGACAGCCCCGUACACAAAAGCGCAUGUGCUGUGAGCUCGAUGAGUAGGGCGGGACACGUGGUAUCCUGUCUGAAUAUGGGGGGACCAUCCUCCAAGGCUAAAUACUCCUGACUGACCGAUAGUGAACCAGUACCGUGAGGGAAAGGCGAAAAGAACCCCGGCGAGGGGAGUGAAAAAGAACCUGAAACCGUGUACGUACAAGCAGUGGGAGCACCCUUUGGGGUGUGACUGCGUACCUUUUGUAUAAUGGGUCAGCGACUUAUAUUCUGUAGCAAGGUUAACCGUAUAGGGGAGCCGUAGGGAAACCGAGUCUUAACCGGGCGUUAAGUUGCAGGGUAUAGACCCGAAACCCGGUGAUCUAGCCAUGGGCAGGUUGAAGGUUGGGUAACACUAACUGGAGGACCGAACCGACUAAUGUUGAAAAAUUAGCGGAUGACCUGUGGCUGGGGGUGAAAGGCCAAUCAAACCGGGAGAUAGCUGGUUCUCCCCGAAAGCUAUUUAGGUAGCGCCUCGUGAAUUCAUCUCCGGGGGUAGAGCACUGU
rnacentral:rRNA from 1 species